rnacentral:rRNA from 1 species
UACGUAGGGGGCUAGCGUUGUCCGGAUUCAUUGGGCGUAAAGGGUGCGUAGGCGGCGCGGUAAGUCGGGUGUGAAAUCUCGGAGCUUAACUCCGAAACUGCAUUCGAUACUGCCGAGCUUGAGGACUGGAGAGGAGACUGGAGUUUACGGUGUAGCGGUGAAAUGCGUAGAUAUCGGGAGGAACACCUGUGGCGAAAGCGGCGCACUGGACCAUAACUGACGCUGAUGCGCGAAAGCUAGGGGAGCAAACAGG